AUAAGGAUUGGAAAUUGUGCCUCAGCUAGGAAGUUGCCUUGCCAGCAGAUCCGACCCGCUUGCUUACAGCUGCACUAGGGUCGGAUAGGCUUCCUCUGUAGGUUAGGACACCACUGAGCCAGCGCGAGGUAAGGCUCGGAAAACGUACUUCAAAACAGGGAUGAGAAAUGCGGUGUACUCCGAAUUGUCCCAACAUCCCAACUGUUACACCGAAAAAAAUCGGGAGUACAACGCAUUUCCCAGGAUUGAGGAGCCCUUUGAUGCAGAUGAGUACAUAGAGAGGUUGGCCUGGAGAACCCCUGGAGGAGGGUCCAAAGGCGGAGCUGAGGCAUUCGACCCCAAAAGGCUGCUGGAGGAGUUUGAGAACCACAUAGAGGAGCUGAAGCAGCUAGAUGAGAAGAUCCAGCGUCGGGUGGAGAAGCUGGAGCACCAGUGUCACAGAGAGGCCAAGGAGUUUGCCCACAAAGUGCAGGACUUACAGAGGAGCAACCAGGUAGCCUUCCAGCACUUCCAGGAGUUGGACGAGCACAUCAGCUAUGUGGCCACCAAGGUGUGUCACCUUGGCGACCAGCUGGAGGGCGUGAACACGCCCAGGCAGAGGGCGGUGGAGGCACAGCGUCUCAUGACCUACUUCAAUGAGUUCCUGGAUGGGGACCUGCGCAGUGAUGUCUUCAACAACCCAGAGAAGAUUAAGGAAGCUGCUGAUAUCAUUCAGAAGUUGCAUCUCAUAGCGCAGGAGCUGCCGUUUGACAGGUUUGCAGAUGUCAAGGCCAAGAUUGCAAGUAAAUACCACGACCUGGAGCGCCAGCUGGUCCAGGAGUUCACGGCGGCCCAGCGUAGGUGCGAGAUUGGCCGCAUGCGGGAGGUCGCCGCAGUCCUCUUACAUUUCAAGGGCUAUGCGCACUGUGUAGAUGUUUAUAUCAAGCAGUGUCAGGAGGGAGCGUACAUGCGUAGUGAUGUGUUUGAAGACACGGCCCUCCUCUGCCAGCGAGUCAACAAGCAGGUGGGCGAGGUCUUCCAGAGCCCCGAGACCGUCAUGGCCAAACUCAUCCAGAACAUCUUUGAGAACACACUACAGGCUCACGUGAAAGAGAAGCUGGACGAGACCCGCCGCUCUGACAUAGAACAAUACCUCAAAAACCUCUACGACCUCUACACCAGGACGACAGCCUUGGCUGCCAAGCUAACAGAGUUCAACCUGGGCUCAGACAAACACACGUUCCUGUCCAAGCUCAUCAAGAACAUCUUCUCCACCUAUCUGGAGAGCUACAUUGAAAUGGAGAAAGAUUACCUCCGCACACGCAGCACCAUGAUCCUGCAACGCUACUACGACUCCAAGAACCACCAGAAACGCCCACUGGGUGGGGGCAGUAUCCAGGAGCUGAAGGAGCGGAUCAGACAGCGCACCAACCUGCCAUUGGGGCCCAGCAUCGACACCCACGGCGAGACCUUCCUGUCCCAGGAGGUGGUGGUCAACCUGCUGCAGGAGACACGCCACGCCUUCGAGAGGUGCAACAGGCUCUCAGAUCCCUCGGACCUGCCCAAGAACGCCUUCUCCAUCUUCCUGCUGCUGGUGGAGCACCUGUGUGUGGACCACAUUGACUACGCACUGGAGAUCGGCCUUUCCGCCAUUCCGUCAGCUGAUGCCAAGAAUGCCAACCUUUACUUCCUGGAUGUAGUUCAGCAGGCCAACACCAUCUUCCACCUGUUUGAUAAGCAGUUCAAUGACCACCUCAUGCCUCUUAUCAGCUCUUCUCCCAAACUGACAGAGUGCCUGCACAAGAAGAAGGAGGUGAUUGAACAGAUGGAGGUGAAACUGGACACCGGCAUAGACAGAACGCUGAACUGCAUGGUGGGACAGAUGAAGCACAUCCUGGCUACGGAACAGAAGAAGACCGACUUCAGGCCUGAAGACGAGAACAACGUUAUGAUCCAGUGCACCGCAGUAAGGAGUGAACUGCACCCAGCCUCCACCCCUUGUCUCAUAUGCAAAGCAAAGAGGAACUGUAGUCGGAUGAGUUUUAAAAAGCCUGCUCCAAGGUGUGUGUGUACGUAAGUCGGCAGGUGGAGCGUGUGCGGAAGUCCAUGGACGGUAAGAACGUGGACACAGUGCUGACGGAGCUGGGUGUGCGUUUCCACCGCCUCAUCCACGAGCAUCUGCAGCAGUACAGCUACAGCUCCAUGGGAGGCAUGCUGGCCAUCUGCGACGUGGCCGAGUACCGCAAAAGUGCCAAGGACUUCCGGGUUCCUUUGGUGCUGCAGCUCUUUGGCACGCUCCACGCCUUGUGUAACCUCCUGGUGGUCGCCCCCGACAACCUCAAACAGGUUUGCUCCGGCGAGCAGCUUACCAACCUGGACCGGAACCUUCUGCACGCCUUCGUCCAGCUGAGAGUGGACUACCGUCAGGCCAGACUGGGACGCCACUUCAGCUAAUGGCCCCGGUCUAUGGGUCACUGUCCAGCCCUCUGUCCGUCCGUCCAUCCAUCCAAUCACCAGGCCCUAUGAUUUCACAAGAUUCACCAUGGAAACAGAAUUCAGCCAACCUGGAUGUUAGUCUUUCAUUCUCAUCUGCAGUAGCACCUUUUGCUUGUUUGUCCGUCUUAGAGGCCAAGAAAGACCACUGUCAUUCACAGUUGGGCUACCUGCAUUUUGCCCUUGAUUUCUGCAAUGCAAAGAUAUAUUGACUGAGCUCUCUUGUUUCUAAAUACUAAUCAACCACACCACCGUAGAAGAUUUUGUCAUAUUGCCGGUAAUAUGGACCUUUAUUUCCAAGAUUUCUACUUUAAAAUAAAGAGACGUUUUGAUUGUGCCAAAUAUAUGUUCUGUGGCUGCACUUGUCCACAGGAACAAACUCUAAAGCUGCAGUAUAGGGAAGGUUGAACUCUGCAUAGCUCAGGCAUGUCAUGGCAAUGACUGACUGGAACAGCCACCCCUCAUAGAGAACUCCCAGAGGAAUCUACUUUACUCUCACCACCACUACCAUCUCUCUCAUAUUGCUCUCCCUUAUCUCUCUCUUGCUCUCUCAUACACUAUAUGUACCAAAGUAAGUGGACACCCCUUCAAAUUAGUGAAUUCGGCCAUUUCAGCCACACCCGUGGCUGACAGGUGUAUAACGUUGAGCACACAGCCAUGCAAUCUCCAUAGACAAACAUUGGCAGUAGAAUGGUCUUAUUGACAAGCUCAUUGACAUUCAACGUGGCACUGUCAUAGGAUGCCGCCUUUCCAACAAGUCAGUUUAUAAAAUGUCUGCCCUGCUAGAGCUACCCUAGUCAACUGUAAGUGCUUUUAGUGGGAAGUGGAUAUGUCUAGGAGCAAUAACGGCUCAGCCGUGAAGUGGUAGGCCUCUAGACUAUUCUGUGCUUCCAACUUUGUGGCAACAGUUUGGGGAAAGCCCUUUCCUGUUUCAGUAUGACAAUGCACCUGUGCACAAAGCAAACUCCACACAAAAAUGGUUUCUUGAUAUCGGUGUGGAAGAACUUGACUGACUUGCACAGAGCCCUGACCUUAACCCUAGCGAACACCUUUGGGAUGAUUUGGAACGCCGACUACCAGCCAGGCCUAAUCGCCCAACAUCAGUGCCUGACCUCACUAUUGCUAUUUUGGCUGAAUGAAAGCAAGUCCCCGCAGCAAUGUUCCAGCAUCUAGUGGAAAGCCUUCCCAGAAGAGUGGAGGCUGUUAUAGCAGCAAAGGGGGGACCAACUCCAUUUUAAUGCCCUUGAUUUUGUAAUGAGAUGUUUGAUAAGCAGGUGUCCACAUACUUUUGGUAAUUUAGUGUAUCUCUCCAUAUCUAUAUCUAACCAAGCCUGGUAUAGAGCUCCGCUGUGCCUGGCAGAUAGUCACAUGACCACCUCUCUCCGACCCCUGACCUCAGGGCAGAGGUGAGUGGUCAUCACACUGCGCUGUGAUCCCAGCCGUAAGCAUGUCUGAGAACCACUCAGAGGUCCUGGGUGGUCUGUCUGUGGCUGGGAUGAUGGGUAAUUGCCUAGAUCGACACCUGUUCAUUCACAGGGGCUUACGAUCCAUCCUUUGUGGCCUGGAUCAGUCCUGAAUCAGGGUCAGGACACAGUGAAAUGUUGCUCUUCAGUGCUUAAGGAGAUAAUGAGUGAAAGUUAAGUGGACUUCAUAGGGAAUACGGGAGGCCAGGGAGGGUCAAGAUCAUUGUGCCUCGGCUCUCACAUGGUGGUCAUUGACUGUCAGUGUCAGUUAAGAUCAAACCUGAAGUUCUAUUGUCUUAUGAUGCUGUUCCCAGUGUACUGCUCUUGACCUUAAUCAAUGAUUCAUAAAAAACGUUUUGUUUAA